rnacentral:rRNA from 1 species
UAGGGAAUCUUCCGCAAUGGGCGAAAGCCUGACGGAGCAACGCCGCGUGAGUGAAGAAGGAUUUCGGUUCGUAAAGCUCUGUUGUUAGGGAAGAAUGAUUAUGUAGUAACUAUACAUAGUAGAGACGGUACCUAACCAGAAAGCCACGGCUAACUACGUGCCAGCAGCCGCGGUAAUACGUAGGUGGCAAGCGUUGUCCGGAAUUAUUGGGCGUAAAGCGCGCGCAGGUGGUUUAAUAAGUCUGAUGUGAAAGCCCACGGCUCAACCGUGGAGGGUCAUUGGAAACUGUUAAACUUGAGUGCAGGAGAGAAAAGUGGAAUUCCUAGUGUAGCGGUGAAAUGCGUAGAGAUUAGGAGGAACACCAGUGGCGAAGGCGGCUUUUUGGCCUGUAACUGACACUGAGGCGCGAAAGCGUGGGGAGCAAACAGGAUUAGAUACCCUGGUAGUCCACGCCGUAAACGAUGAGUGCUAAGUGUUGGUCUCAUAAGAGAUCAGUGCUGCAGCUAACGCAUUAAGCACCCCGCCUGGGGAGUACGACCGCAAGGUUG